GCAUUAGUAGCUAGCCCA
rnacentral:tRNA from 1 species